AUGGCUUUGUGGCGAAACAUGGUUGAGAUCCAUCUUUCUCAUUGUAAAAAACUGCAACGAUUAUUCAGUUGUGAUAGACCCUUCACUUUUCCAAAUCUGAAGGAGUUUACACUAAAAUCUCUGGAAUGUCUGGAGAGCUGGUGGGACAUAAAUAACGAGGAACAAGGAGAAGAGAUGACAUUUCCUCAGCUUGAGAAGUUAUCUAUUGCUGGCUGUGGAAAGCUGACAGCAUUACCAGAAGCAACACUGCUUGGAGAAUCUUAUGGUACAAUGGCACGGUCAGCAUUUCCAUCAUUGAAAGUGCUCUACUUGGAUGACUUGGAAAGCUUUGGAAGAUGGGAGGCAAUCGAAGGAACUCAAAGAGGACACAUUGUAUUUCCUAGGCUUGAGGAACUUACAAUCCAGAACUGCCCUCUGCUGACCGCAUUACCGGAAGCACCGUUUGGUGGGGAUUAUGGUAUGGCACCCUCAGCAUUUCCUGCAUUGAAGGUUCUCAUAUUGAGAGAUUAA
rnacentral:rRNA from 1 species